ensembl:lncRNA
UGCGUGUAGAGACCCUGUGACACCCUGAUGUUCGCAGGUGGUAUGCGGCAUGUCGUAAAUGCCAGCCAGCCCAAAAACACCACUGUACCAUCUUCCAUUUGAAAGGAUGGACCUCGUCAGACACCCACACAGAGCGACCGAGAGAGAGAGAGAGAGAGAGACACACACAAAGAGUGAGACAGAGAGAGAGAGACACAGAAAGAGAGAGACGCACACAAAGAGCGAGACAGAGAGAGAGAGGCAUACACAAAGAGAAACAGAGAGAGACACAGCGAGAGACACACACACAAAGAGUCAGACUGAGUGAGAGACACAGAGAGAGACACACACACAAACACAAAGAGUGAGACUGCGAGAGAGAGAGGCACACACACAAAGAGUGAGACUGAGAGAGAGACAGAGAGAGACACACACACACAAACACAAAGAGUGAGACCGCGAGAGAGAGGCACACACACAAAGAGUGAGACUGAGAGAGAGACAGAGAGAGACACACACACAAACACAAAGAGUGAGACCGCGAGAGAGAGGCACACACACAAAGAGUGAGACCGCGAGAGAGAGGCACACACACAAAGAGUGAGACUGAGAGAGAGACAGAGAGAGACACACACACACAAACACAAAGAGUGAGACUGCGAGAGAGAGGCACACACACAAAGAGUGAGACUGAGAGAGAGACAGAGAGAGACACACACACACAAACACAAAGAGUGAGACCGCGAGAGAGAGGCACACACACAAAGAGUGAGACUGAGAGAGAGACACAGAGAGAGACACACACACACAAACACAAAGAGUGAGACCGCGAGAGAGAGGCACACACACAAAGAGUGAGACUGAGAGAGAGACACAGAGAGAGACACACACACACACACAUAGAGAGAGACUGAGACAGAGAGAGAGAGACAGAGAGUUAAUCACGAAUGGUUCUUAUAAUCUCUUGUCUAUAUGAAGCCGUUAUCGAGUCUUCUCCGGACGCAGUGCGGAGCGCUGCGUGUGUAAACUCGUGUCCAACCGCAGCUGUUGGUCUCGUAACUCAUUAGCGCAGCUUCUAAACGAGCUGUUAUACAUGGUCUCAGAGUUCUGAGCACGCGCCUGUGUUGGAGAAGGUAAUUAACUGCGUUUUACCCGUGCGUGUAAGACUAGCACCAGGAGCGACAGUGACGAUGUGAUGAUCUCUGGCUCUGUGAGGAGGCGUGAUGACUCAGCUGUUCACGCUCUGUGUGUGUGUGUGUGCUGUGAGUGCUGUGUGAAGGUUAACCACGAAGACCAAGCGCUGCAGGGAUUCUGAAUCCGCCGCAGGUUUCCCAGGUUUCCGAUGCGGCUGCUGAACGCGGCAGGGGGUCGUGCUGGAGUUUCUGCUGGACUCGGAGCGGUGUCAGGGUUACCAAGCGCUCUCUUUCUUCACAGUCUGCGUCGUUUCUUUGUUUUUGUCUUGUUUUCUCUUCGGCUCUGACCUAGUAAAGAUUUGUGUGUGUAAAAAAAAAAAAAAAAAAAAAAAAACGUGAAAAUUUCAUAAUAAAAGUACAUGUUUAUUUAGUAACAGGGUUUCUGAACAAUUGCAGGUGCAAAGUUUCCGGGGGUAACUGUUAGUCUGUAGUCUGUAGUUGUUGUUUAUUUGUUAUAUAUAUAUAUAUAUAUGUAUAUAUAUGUAUUGUUAAUCAGUCCCUCCAGGAUGUAGCGAUUUUUGCGAUCGCCGAAAUGAACACAAAAUCAAGCGAAUGCAACAACACGCUUGCGAUUUCUCAAAAUUUCCGUGGACUUUCCGCAGAUUCGGGCCAAAAUGCGCCAUGUGACGUCAUCACAACACGCGUUCAUCCCAAGCCCUUUUCGGAAUACAGCUAAACAAGAAUACAGCUAAAAGCUCUCGUUUACCGACGAGCAUCGAGGGGUUUUAAAUUAAAUUUUAAAUUUUAAAAUUUUUCUCCGAAAAGCGCAACAAAAUCGGACGUUUCUUUCGGCCGCAAGGAUCAGAGAGGAACAAUUUCCUAGGACUGCUCCUAAUAGGAAGCACCGUGUUUUUGCAAACAUUAAAUGUAACUGCAAACGGAUAAAAAGUCGUACUCGUUGACAAAUGGCGGCGGUGUUAUAAGACGAAUAACACACUACACGACAUGCUUUUAUUGGAAAUAAUCAACUUCAGGGUGUUAACAAUGACACAACUUCAUCCGUGAUUAUUUUCCUAUAACAGCACAACCCCAAGCACGUUGCUCGUAACUGAGGUGAAUUCCAAUCGUACUGUAAGGAGAUAUUGAUAAAUGUGUGUGUGUGUGUGGGUGUGUGGAGUGUUAGGUUUUUGUCGCACAAGUUUUUAUCGGUAUUUUUGAUUCAGAUGAAUUUCCUCGACGAAGCCGUAGUGCUGACCGAAAGCAUUCGGGUUACGCGCUGCUGUUGUCAGCGGCGUGAAAGAGAUUAAUCACGGCGCUUUGUUUCUUUUCGUUAUCCCAGUCAGCGAACCGACUCGCGCUGACGUGGCCGUGUCUGAUUGCUCGGACGCGUCCAGAGGACCUGACGCUGCGUUUUUGGGCUUCCGUUAUUACGCGGUCGCAGAAGUAAGACGACUAAAAGAAUGGAGCGCUUCCUGUCGAACGCAUUUGUAAAUAUUAUAUUUGACAACAUUUGACACCAAUAAAAUACAAAUGUAAAAAAAAAAAAAAAAAAAAACAUAAUUAUUUCUCUCUCAUUCUUUGUUCUGUCUUUGAACCAGAAAGGAAAAUAUAUAUAUAAAUAAAUAAAUAGUAUACACACACACACACACACACACACACAUCCACCUGUCUUUCUCUUUUCCUUCCUCGCUAUUUCACACCUUUGGAAGUGCAGGGAUUAUUUAUAGUAUCCUUUAAAUGCGCCACCUGAAGUCAACGAGAGUGAAAUUCCCAAUCCGGUACUACAGUGAGAAUGAAAGAGUGCACACGUAGCUGUCCUGCUAGAACACACCACACUAAAGGCUUUAACGGCGUAUUUACACCCUGUGUUCAAUCUCACGAUCUCAUUACGUCCUCCGGUGUUUCCGAUCUCAGGACAUUUUUAUCGGUACCCCCACACACACACACACACACAAGGCGUGGCCGAACACGAAUACAGAGCGAUCCACGCUCGUUAUAUCGUGUUUCCUGGAGACAAUGUGCAAAUGUAUGAGACUUUUCAUUGACGAUUAUUUCGAUACUUUGUAAAUCCCUCUCACAAACGCAUGACAGCUUGUUUAUGGUGAUUAGGCGUCUAUGCUUAGCGUUGUUAUGACUUCGUUCACAUUAGAAGUUUUACGUAUACACACACACACACACACACACACACACACACACACACAAAAAAAAAAAAGCCUCCUUCAUAUGUUCUUUGUGUUCGGGUAUACUUUUCGGGAAUUUAGGCAGGACCCAACAGCAGAGGGUUUUCCUGACAGAUCCAGUGGACUGUUAUUUUGGAUGAGUGUGUGUAUUAAAGGGGUAAGUGUGUGUCCCUACACUGUGUCCCUACACUGUGUCCCUACAUUGUGUCCCUACACUGUGUCCCUUCACUGUGUCCCUACACUGUGUCCCUUCACUGUGUCCCUUCACUGUGUCCCUACACUGUGUCCCUUCACUGUGUCCCUUCACUGUGUCCCUUCACUGUGUCCCUACACUGUGUCCCU